UACGUAGGGUGCGAGCGUUGCCCGGAUUUAUUGGGCGUAAAGGGCGCGUAGGCGGUGAGAUGCGUCCGUUGUGAAAUCGCCCGGCUCAACUGGGCGGGGUCAGCGGAUACGGUCUCACUUGAGCAAGCUAGGGGGCAAUGGAAUUCCCGGUGUAGUGGUGGAAUGCGUAGAUAUCGGGAGGAACACCAGUGGCGAAGGCGGCGACCUGGGCCAAUACUGACGCUGAGGAGCGAAAGCAUGGGGAGCGAACAGG
rnacentral:rRNA from 1 species